UUUUCCGGCUAUUUCAGUUGGUCUAAUAAAAGAUAUCAGAUUUGCCCAAAGAACCGUGUCUGUCAAUGUCCUGAGCCAACACGGCUACACCCAACAAGAUUCCCAAAUGGGG